rnacentral:rRNA from 1 species
UACGGAAGGCAGCAGUGGGGAAUAUUGGACAAUGGGCGAAAGCCUGAUCCAGCCAUGCCGCAUGAGUGAAGAAGGCCUUCGGGUUGUAAAGCUCCUUUAGUGAGAAAGAUAAUGACGGUACUCACAGAAGAAGUCCUGGCUAACUCCGUGCCAGCAGCCGCGGUAAUACGGAGAGGGCUAGCGUUAUUCGGAAUUAUUGGGCGUAAAGAGCGCGUAGGCUGAUUAGUAAGUUAAAAGUGAAAUCCCAAAGCUUAACUUUGGAAUUGCUUUUUAAAACUGCUAGUCUAGAGAUUGAAAGAGGAUAGAGGAAUUCCUAGUGUAGAGGUGAAAUUCGUAAAUAUUAGGAGGAACACCAGUGGCGAAGGCGUCUAUCUGGUUCAAAUCUGACGCUGAGGCGCGAAGGCGUGGGGAGCAAACAGGGAUUAGAUACC